UCAGAAACCGUCUCUGGUAGUUUAACCAUUUUAAUACCCAAUAAAACCAAAAAGAGACCAAAACCCCAGUCUCCACAAACGCAUCAUUACCACCUGUCAUUCUUCUUGAUGAAGAGCUUAAUCAUAACCAAAGUCUCGUAGAUAGUGAAUUAACCUUCGGAUUUGAGGUCAAUGAACAGUUGCUUAAAGAUUCCUCAUCAACAGCCGCACCAACGCUUCAGUCCAACCAUCUGCAAACGUUUGACGUUUCACUUAGAUAUCAGCAACCAGUCAUGACGAACGUCUCUUUCAACUAUGAUGACAUCAUCAUUUUCAUUGAAAAAGCUUGGGUUGAUAUUCAAAAAGACCUAAUAUCUUCCAAAACUAGUGAUGGAAACCGCAUAAUCGAGUAUUUCUCUGCAAAUCAGUGAUGCUUUUAACUACCGUACAUUUAGGAAGUGAAAUACAGAUUAAAGGAGCUCUGACUCAACUGUGAUGGUGUUUUCUCUCUCCGCAUCUUUUGAUGAGUUAAUUUCUUUACCAGUGUCUCCGUUUGUAAUUAGAAUACCUACGUUGAGAAGAAUUUCUAAGUAAGGAUCUAAUUCUUGCUUUUUUUCUCCAAUUUUCAUUGUUUCCCAAAACCAGUCGGGGUGCCACAACCAUACCUGCCAUCUAAAGCUCUCCCAUACAAGAACUCCGUCUGUUUUACGUUAUGUAUGUAGGUCUCUAUUUUUUUACUAAAACACCCAUUUAAUUCUGAAUUUUGUAUAUAUCACAUUGCAAAUGUUUUCAGAGCCCAUUUCCCCCCCGCCCUUCUUCUUUGAAUAUUGAGUAAUUUUCUUUGUUUGUAUUGACUAUAUUUUUUGUUGUGUCUACUUGAUUCAUUUUUUAAUGAUUUCUUUAUUUUAUUUUUUUUAGCAUUUUUCUGUUAAAAUCACUUGAGAUCCGCUUCAUUCCACAGUCAAAUUGUGAAUUAUGACUAAAAUUGUACAAUAUGUAUGUACGUAUGUAUGUAUGUCACGUAUGUAAGUUCGUUUAAGUGUACCUAGUUAUAUGUUAGUAAGUCUUGACACAAGGAUGUUUUAGUCCUAAAAUGUGUCAGUCAGGGACUAUAAUUUAUUCAUAAAAGUCUGCAAAUUUAGACCUUUUUCCAAUCAAGAUUUUACUGUAUCCGCUCAAAAUGCUAAGCAAAGUGGGACUUAUCUCCGAAGAAAAGUGCAAAAAAAUUCUAAGGUUUCUUUAUUUUUCUUUAUUUUUUAUUGGGGGAUGUUCCUUUUUUUUAAAAAAAAAAAUAUAUAAAGGGUAAGUUUUAAAAAAUAAAAAUGUGGGGAACAACUGAAAACUUUGUAGUGAGGUUACCACCAGAAUUAUGGAUUUGAAACCAAAUCCUAGACCGUCAUCCAUUUUGGGGAAAGGCAAACCUAUUCCUUUAAUUUACAAGUAUUGUCAGAACUGAUUGAAACUCUCAAAUUUUAGCUUUGUUUGCCUUUGAAAAUCGAUCAACGCUUUUUUAUUUUUCUCUUUUUUUUCUAUGCCCUGCAUUUUGUUAUUGGGGAGUCAUUAAGCGUCAUGUAGAGUCGCAAUAUUCAUUAGGUUUCUUAGUUUAGAACUUACACUGAUAUCAUGUUAUAAAAGAGGCCAAGGACUUAGAAACAUAAUUAUUAUUUAAUUUUUUCAGCAUUUUCUUUUCCUAAUCAAAUUGUUAUUUUCUAAUCACCACCCCCUGAAGCGGAAACAGAAUAUCUUUUGUAAAACCGUCAAGAAAUUUUGUUCCAGGGGUUUCAUCUUCACCUCAAAACUGUGAAUGUUAGUUGCAAGUGGAACCGUUGUUAAUUUAUAUCUAACCCUCGUUUAUUUAUUGAUUAAUUUUUUUUAAUUUUUGUUAUAAAAUUAAGUCUAAUUUAAAGCUCUGUCAUUGUUACCAAUACUUACCGUGAUUUGUCUUCUUGAAUCGGGAAUUUUGAAUUAUUUUGGAAAUUUUUUUUACAUGUGGUUGAAAAACAGAGGAUAUUGCCGGACUGCACCUGAGCCUGCCAAAUUCGUUUUCCAUAAUAUGAGAAAAUAUAUUUCUGUAACAAUCAUAACCAUACUCUAACCAUCUAUGUCGCUCUCACCGAACAUGCCGUACUUAAGCCCCAACUGUAUCUAAUUAUCAUCUUUCUUUAUCCCUCUGUAUUUUUUUCCCCCCAGGAGGAAAAAUUCUUACAAGUAUUGUCGUGCUGGUCAAGUUCUUACUCAUUUGUUGCUUUAGUGAUAGAGAGUAAGGAAAUUACCGUAGCCUAAUGAGUAGGAAUGUCUUUUUUCUUUUUAUUGGGUUUUAAUCAGUAGGAAUUGUCUCAAAAUUCCUUUAAUUAAGAUGAAAGACCAAUAACUCUGAUGACGUGAAUGCGAAAAAAGAAAAUGAUGUACGAAUUAGUCUACUUAGAAGUCAUCCUCCUUACUGAAUUUUUCAUGAAGUUUCAGCCAGCCAUCUCGUUCCAGUCUUAAGGAGUUCUGUAUCUAAAAGAUUUUUCUCUUAUAAAAACAUGUUAAUGUAGGCGCACAAUCCAGCAAAUGGUUACUUUUGAGCAGGGCUAUAAGUUGGUAGAUGGAUCCUUCUACUUUUUUUCAUGAUUAUCAAUAGCUUUCUGGUGUAUCCAUGCUAACGAUCGAAUUAAGUUUUAUAAUGUUGCCAGGAGGUGACUGUUCCUGUUUUAUUUCUUGAAAACUUGCUCUCUUCCCAACCAGCAAUAUAAUGUAUUCCUGUUGCGUUUUCGGUGUUCUAUCUUAGAACUGCUCUUAUUUUAAAUUUCUUUUGCUGUCUCUGUGAGGGCUGAUUAUUCUGAAGGUUUUUUUUUUAUUUGAAUUAAAUUUAGUACUAAAGUGAAUCCAUUAACAAAAUGAAGGAAGUUCGACAUUUUGUAGCUAUGCUGUAUUUCUUACAUCCAGUGUACAGUCCAUGUCAAAGAAGAUAAUAUUAGUGAAAUUCUUGUGUGAAGGGUUGGCAUAAAAAUCGAAUGAAAAAAAUCCCAACACUGUGUCAGUUUACAAAGACCAUUUUAAGAUCAAAUAUUUAAUUGUUUAAGCUAGCAUUGCUCGCUAGUUUUCCUCGCAGUUUACCUCAGCUUGCCAAUGCAACUUAUAAUGGAUAAUUUUGGCUUGUAUUUAGGUGUCAAAAAUCAAAAUGUGAGAGACACAUGUAUCGCAGCAAAAAUUUCUAUACCCAUAUCUUAUAAGACAUCCUUCAAAGAAUGUUGGUCUAAGCCUAUGAUCCUGUUGCAUUGAAGUAACUUAAUUCUCAGUGUGUCCUGUGAACUAAUAGGAUUCUAAUGAGUUUGCCAUCAUGUGAUGGGUAGACCAUAUUUUAUAUAAGUUUUUCCUUUUAUUAAAUAACUCUCAACAGCAGUCAUUACUGCUGUUAUAUGUGCGCAGGUAGAUGACAAAGGUAAACAUUUCUGGAAGGAGUGUUAAUAUUUCAGAUGGGUCUGUCAUUUGAACAGGAUUUUUCUUCUUUCUUCUCAUUCUUCUUCUUUUUUCCUGUAUCUUGGAAAGUAGUACUUUGUUUUCUUUAAGGCAGGUCCAAUCAGCCAUUUAAAUUUAACAUAUACAUACUGACGUUUGAGCUUGGUUGAGCAACAGUUUUUCUGCCUGCUCUGUAAAACAGUAUGCAUAAACUUGUGAAGAUAAACACAGAAUAUCAACCUCUUUUAAUUAGGAAGCAUACUGAAAUCAGUUUAGCUCUGGUCUGAUUCAAAUCGACUCAUAAUUCAAAGAAAAGUGAGCAGUUUAAAUUGACGAACUUGGGGAAAGCAUUCGUGUAAUUUUUGCAUGAAUUCGAGAGUUUCAGAAACACCUCCU
rnacentral:lncRNA from 1 species